UAAAUUAGUUCUUUUAGAGAAAUGAACCUCAUACCACCAUGUCUGUACUUGCACACUACUACUCCUGGUCAGAGGAAUCCCCUUCUGGGAAGCAAGAAAAAUAUCAGAAGUGAGCUAAUGACUUGAUGGAAAGAGCCUGCCACAAGCUUUGAAGUUCCACGUCAAAAUGGCCAAAAUCACAACUUCCAGCAAAGAGGAUCAGAAACAUACCCUUGCUGAACACACAAGCUGGGUUUCUGGCCAAAGCAUAUGAUUUUGGAGCUGAGUCUUCAAUCCUCAAACUGACUUCAGUUUUGAAAUCACUGGCAACAUUUUUGCUUUGUCUUUUGCUUCCUUUUUGCAGUCCACAUAUCCGAUCAGAGUGGUAGGCUGCUGUUUAGAAAGACACAUAUUCAAUGCAGAUUCUGUCUGGGAGAACAUUUCUGUACUAUGAUUCUCUUUUUUAAUUAGGCAUAGCUUUCCAAAAUUUUAAUUUCUUUUUACUAUCCUUUUAUUUCUCCUUUCUAGAACACAUUCUCAAAGCUGACUUUUUGACUUCUCUGCCUAUUUGUUUUCUUGAAUCCAAGGUCAUUAUUUGCAUUCUCCCGCUUUCUUUGGACAAGAGACAGAUCUGAAGGCAGAUUUUAAAAGCUUAAGGGUGAUAUCAAGCUCAAAUUUCUGUAUAAAUGCUGAAUACUGUGUUGAAAUAACUUAUGGGCUAAUACGAAUCUCAUAAUGAAUAAACGAAAAUCAGCCAAAAGACAGAGGAGAUAGGAAAAAAGUCUAUUAGCAUUAUCUUGAAAUCUAACCAUGAAUUCUGGCUGUCCUUUUGUCAGAUUAGUGAGAUCAGAUAAAGCCAUGAAAAAAAAUCAGAUAGUAAUUAGCAUCUUUAGCUUGAGAUAAAUGAGCAAGUAAUUCAGUGCUGGAAAUCCAUUCAGGUUUGUCUUUAUUUGUACAGAGUAUAACAAAAGAUUAACUACCUCCUAGGCUUCAUUAUUGUAACUAAGACCUACUUGUAACAAUGGAAAGAUAUUACUGUGUUCUCUGUCAGAAAAUAAUUGUGCUAUGUCUCCUAUGCCUGGGAACCAUGAUAUUACAAGCAUAAAGAGUCCCCAGCCAAUAAACCAUGAAGUAAAACAGAUA